rnacentral:lncRNA from 1 species
GGGGGAAAAGAGUGUUCUGGAAGUGUUUGUGAUGUCAUAAGACUUAAACCAGAAAGUGGAACUUGUUACUUCCUCUCACACACCAUUGAUAGGAACUCAGCCAUGAGACUACCGAGCUGCACAGAAGGCUGAGAAAUAUCAAGCUCACCUGUGAGCACAAAUCUUAAGACAAGCCAGUGGGACUUAAUCCUGGAGUUGCUUCACUUGGAGAAUAAAACUGUCCACAGAAGGGAGAGCUUGAUAGCUAAUGAAGCCAACACAGAGGACAGCAGAGCCAAGAAUGGGGAGAGAGACUUGGCACUAUUUGAGCACCUGGAUUCAGCCAUACCUGAAGCCAACAUGUGACAAUCUCUUUUAAGAACCAAAGGAACCAAAGGAGGGAUUUAUGCUUUGUAGUGCCUCAAACCAUACUCUGAAAAUCCUUAACCUAAACAUCCCAAUAAAAGUUAUAAAUGUUAUAACUGAAGUUCCACGUCCCAGGUUCUUUACCAAUAUUUGCCAUUUUUAUUGUUGUUAACAGCCAUCCUAGCCCAGGCAUGGUGGCGCAUACUUGGGAGGCCAAGGCAAGAGUAUUGCCAUGAGUUUGAGGCCUGCCUGGGAUACACAGUGAGCUCAAGGCCAGCCUGAACUACAUAGUGAGACCCUGUCUCAAAAAACAAACAAAACCAAAC